rnacentral:rRNA from 1 species
UACGUAGGCAGCGAGCGUUGUUCGGAAUUACUGGGCUUAAAGAGUUCGUAGGCGGCGCGGAAAGUGGGGUGUGAAAGCCCUCGGCUCAACCGAGGAAUUGCGCUCCAAACUGCCGUGCUUGAGGGACCUAGAGGUGAGCGGAACUGAUGGUGGAGCGGUGAAAUGCGUUGAUAUCAUCAGGAACACCGGAGGCGAAGGCGGCUCACUGGGGGUCUUCUGACGCUGAGGAACGAAAGCCAGGGGAGCGAACGGG